GACGAACGCUGGCGGCGUGCCUAAUACAUGCAAGUCGAACGCUGAAGGAGGAGAUUGCUUCUCUGGAUGAGUUGCGAACGGGUGAGUAACGCGUAGGUAACCUGCCUGGUAGCGGGGGAUAACUAUUGGAAACGAUAGCUAAUACCGCAUAAGAGUAGAUGUCGCAUGACAUUUGCUUAAAAGGUGCAAUUGCAUCACUACCAGAUGGACCUGCGUUGUAUUAGGUAGUUGGUGAGGUAACGGCUCACCAAGGCAACGAUACAUAGCCGACCGGAGAGGGGGGUCCGCCAACCUGGGAACGGGGACACGCCCAGACUCCUUCGGGAGGGAGCAGUAGGGGAACUUUGGGAAUGGGCGGAAGUCUGAACGGGCAACGCCGCGUGAGGGAAGAAGGUUUUCGGAUCGUAAAGAUCUGUUGUAAGAGAAGAACGAGUGUGAGAGUGGAAAGUUCACAUUGUGACGGUAUCUAACCAGAAAGGGACGGCUAACUACGUG
rnacentral:rRNA from 1 species